rnacentral:lncRNA from 1 species
CUAAUUUCUGACUGGCUGCUAGGUGGCAUUUAACUUGAGAUAGCUAUUAAUUUUAAAUGUUCAUUAAUUGUAUAUAGAGCACAUGGAGACCUGCUUCAUUUGGACCAUUUGGCAGCAUUUUGUGGUGUUUCCAUGAAGAAUACAAACACUGAUGUUCGCCUGCUGUUCAACUAUGAUUCCUGUUAUAUGAGACAAGAGCCAACCAAAUAUGUAUUAUCUCUGAGCUGGUAUGGGGCAGAUCUUGACCUGUCCUGUCCUGUAAGUGUGACCCCUCCCUCCAUCACAUGUAAGAACAAUGGCAUGGAAUUGAUUGUUGGUGAUGGAACAGCAGAUGUACUGUCAGUUGCAUGUAAGUAUUGAGUAAUGGUGGGGGAAGAAGGUGUUUCUGUGAGGCCUGAAACUUGCACAUUGCACUUGUGGUCUUGCUGAUAUUUGAUAAUGUUUUCACAGUACAUGGAGAGAAUGAUGUAUUACUCUUACCUUUAUGAGCAAAAAUGAUGGCGUAUCCAAUGAAAAAAAUGCGAGUGAUUGCGCUGGCGCUUCCAUGUCCUGCAAAAUGUCUUUAGCUUGUCUUUAAACGAUAGGGUCUAUCGCAGCCACCGCACUUGGCAGGAGUUACGUCCUGCUCCUUAGGUGGGUGGC